GCGGCGGACGGGUGGAGUAACACGUGGGGAAGCUGCCCUGCAGACUGGGAUAACUUCGGGAAACCGGAGCUAAUACCGGAUAACACCGAAAACCGCAUGGUUUUCGGUUGAAAGGCGGCUUUUAGCUGUCACUGCAGGAUGGGCCCGCGGCGCAUUAGCUAGUUGGUGAGGUAACGGCUCACCAAGGCGACGAUGCGUAGCCGACCUGAGAGGGUGACCGGCCACACUGGGACUGAGACACGGCCCAAACUCCUACGGGAGGCAGCAGUAGGGAAUCUUCCGCAAUGGACGAAAGUCUGACGGAGCAACGCCGCGUGAGCGAAGAAGGUCUUCGGAUCGUAAAGCUCUGUUGUCAGGGAAGAACAAGUGCCGUUCGAACAGGGCGGUACCUUGACGGUACCUGACGAGGAAGCCACGGCUAACUACGUGCCAGCAGCCGCGGUAAUAC
rnacentral:rRNA from 1 species